UACGGAGGGAGCUAGCGUUAUUCGGAAUUACUGGGCGUAAAGCGCACGUAGGCGGCUUUGUAAGUUAGAGGUGAAAGCCUGAAGCUCAACUUCAGAAUUGCCUUUAAGACUGCAUCGCUUGAAUCCAGGAGAGGUGAGUGGAAUUCCGAGUGUAGAGGUGAAAUUCGUAGAUAUUCGGAAGAACACCAGUGGCGAAGGCGGCUCACUGGACUGGUAUUGACGCUGAGGUGCGAAAGCGUGGGGAGCGAACAGG
rnacentral:rRNA from 1 species